rnacentral:lncRNA from 1 species
GCAAGGACUGAUGCCGCAGAAUUCUUUGCAGAAUCCAAGAGAAAACAGCGCCGAGAUCUGGUGGGGUCAACACUGUUCCUCACUCGGGGCUCUCCAGUGGGAAGGAGUGUCGAGACAACUGUGCAAAUCGGCAAAAAAACAUGACAGAUAUUGACGAGCUUGAGUACGAGGUCAAGCGAGUUGGAACUGAGACCAGAGUAGCAUCAUUACAGGAGAAUGAUCUCUGUACGCUCUGAAACUGUUCACGGAUGAAAGAAAACGGGAGUUGGCAAGGAAAAGAAUUCAGCAUUACAGCGAAGGAAUGUGUGAUAUUGUUUCUGUCAACAUGUAAAUGGGGACGAUGACAACACGCGCUCACUAGCCACACCUACUCAGAAUACAAAGAUGAGGCAUCAGCACUACCAGUACUUCGAAACGUGAAUCACUUUUUGCAGACCAGCACGACGGAGAUUCCUCUCCUUAUCUCUUCUUCCUGAUCAGACUCUACUCUUACGCAGUUCGCUUCGAGUGCGCGUGUGUAGUGGUGCACAGUGCUUUUUAAUGCGCGUGCGCAACAGCACGCAGUACUCAAUACGACAAAAUGCGCAUGCGCAACAGUGCAUAGUGCUUUAUACGGUUCAUGCUCCGCAACAGCUUUGCACACCGCUGUUUUAGGCCCGUAUUACAGAUAUCGAAAAUCAAAUUUUGGGCGCAUAUACGAUAAUAACGCUUUGAUACAUGUUGACGAGCUGGAGAACUGUUAUACUUUAGUACUGACACUACUGGCGCUAUGAUUCUUACAUCAUGUAACUCAACGCAAGGAUUUUGACAAGCUAUUUUUCAUUUAGUACAAAUUUUCUUCAUACUUUUACUAUUCUAAUAAUAUAAAUCCAUGUUAUUUGCCCAUACUGGAAAAUUCUAACAUGCGACGAAAUUUUGCAAUUUCUAAGAACUACGGAAAAUGAACACAUAAAUCCAUGUAUGAAAUCAUUAAAGCUAUUUAAAGAUAGGUGUAAUAGUCGUUACUUUGAUUUCAGCUAUUUUCCUUCGUAUGCGAUUCAAAGAUGAAAUCAUGUACUGAACUUAAUUGGUACUUAUCUCAGUAUUCAAUGUACAUUGGCAUGUUAGAAAGAAUUUACUUGAUUUUUGUACAAUAAUGACGAAACUCAAUUCUUUAGAGCUAAGACAACCUAAUUUUGACUACCGAUUAUAAUUUCUCUAUCAAAACUUGUAUUAUUCCACUUGUUUUGAUUGGCGUUAACCAUAACGGUAACUUUGUAAAUUUCCAUUUCGACAAAAUGUUAAGUCGUUUUUCCACCUAGGUUUUUAUUUUGCUUCUUCUAUAAAAAAAAAAAUGGUAGGUACGUUUCGAUUCGGCUAUUGUGUAAUACACAAUACACAAUU